rnacentral:misc_RNA from 1 species
AGGAGGGGAGUGUACCUACCAAGUACAGUAUAGAGGCCAGUGAUGAGUAGCAGAACUGCUAUAGAGAGGUACAUGUCCCAGCCAAGUGCUAGCUGGAUGAAAAGACCACCAGCAAAUAUACAUACCUACAUAGAAAAAGCAAAUGUGCUUAAAGGGGCAUUCACUGGCAAAAUGUUAUGGAAAAUUACUCAUUUAGAUUCUGAUUCCGGUUCCUGGAAUGUUGGAGAGCUGGUGAUUAACAAGAUCCACAAGGAAGCAAGACCGUAAAUGUCACUGUUAACAACUUAACCACAUCUCUGCUCUUGAAAGAUCUAGAUGAGUACACAAGGUACGCGCUAGGCCAUAAGAUAUUGGCGGAAAUAUGUAGGAGACCGAGAAAUCGACGAUGGAAAUGAUGGUGUUCAUAACUUGACCUGAAAAUGAGUUGAAAGAAUGGAUAAAAUCAAUAUGUAGAAGUGAUAGUUCAGGUACAACAAAGAAAAGACUUUACGGGUUUAACACACGAUCAGAUUCAGCAAGAAAGGAUAAAGUAUGAGGUUCUGUUCUAAAAUAACAAGAAAGAUGGGUGCUAUAUAUAUUCCUAGUGCUAUCACUAUAUGGGUGAUAGUUAUUAGUUCAUUAGUGCAAUUCGUGACAGUGAUAGCAGAUGUUCACUGUCAUAUGGAAUCAUAUUUUUCAUCACCGUUUGUGACAGCACAAUACCAACAGGUUACCAUGACAACAGGGUGCAGAAGUCGUGAUGUCACAUCUACCUCACAACAGGUUUACGUACUUCAACUUAUCAGUGGGGGGCCUAGUCACGGUCACCAUGGCGCUCAGGUUUCACUCAGUAUUGCACCAAUCAAAUCGGGAAUACACUCGGAUACUUUGAUCUUCGUGCUAAGUUCUCAGAGACGUACAACAUGGAGGAUAUCCAGCAAACACCUCAACUCUACAGUCAAACACAUAUUUAUUGUAAAUCAUGACUCUCGUGUGCGGAAAGUGGGUCGAAUUAACCUAACUGUGGUCAAGCCAUUGGACAUCGCCCCUGGAUCAACAGAGCUUUUGAAAUGGGUUAGGCUGAGGUAUGAUGCUGUUACUGGAUUCUCGGAAAUCAAACAAGCCAAUCACAUUCAACAGUCUGUCGGGAUAGAACCAGAUGCCCCUGCCACAUGUGUAUUGUCAAAUGAACCAUCAUCAAUGACACAAUCACGCUACAUCCAAUCACAAGAUAUUAAGGGCUGUGCUGAUCCUAUGGCAACUGGUGACCUCCACAUCAUUGAAGUGGCAUCCACACACACAAACCCGCUGAAGAUGUCACAGAAUGACAUCACAGUUAACUUGGAUUCAUCAAGAGGAGAGCGCCAUCUGGUGCUGGUUUUGAAGUCACAACAUGGUGUCCGGUGGGUACUACGGUCAAGAAACUUCAAAGGAUCAAUCAUUAUUCUGAGUAACAACAACGUUGACCACAGUGCACUCCAUAAUGUUGAAAUACAGAUGCGUACUAUGGUUCAAGUACAUUCUGGUCGCAAUUUGAUUCGCUGGAUUGAGGAGCAGUACACAACUAUGCGCUCAUAUUCGUCUAUCUCAGUGGCCAAUCAUAUUGAUUUGGACCUUGGGGAACUGCCUGUUGUUGAAGAGGCCCAUGAUGUUCCAAAAAACCCUAUUCUACCCAUGGAUAGUUUCUUAACCAUGGUGAAUAAGGAUAGGUCAAGGCCGGGGUCCCAUGUCUCUCCUUUUGACUCUGUUAGUAAGACGCAAGUUGCAAUCCAACAGGCCAUUAACAUUCAAUGCGACAAGAGCCAUCUGGUGGUGUCCUUGAGAAAACCCAUUUUACAGAUGAUUGGGAUGGAUGCUGGCCACCUGAGUCUCUCUGAUACAUCAUGUAUUGCAAGGUCAAAUAUGACACACUUCAUACUGGAGUCACCAUUCACUGGAUGUGGUACUAAGAGGAGAGAAGAUGCAGAUGGUGUUGCCUAUGCCAAUUCAAUCAAGGUGUUACCAAUAGAUGAUGAAUACAGUGGUAGCCAUGGCAACCCUCCUGACCACUCAGGAAUGGGAAUAAUGUUCUCUGAUGAUGCGAACACUCACCUUGAUGAUGAAGACUUCCAAGUUGGAGAAACCAUCAAAGUUGCUUUCGAAUGCCUCUUUAAAUCAGACACAGCGGAUGAAAGGAAGACUAUUGAACAACCCAAGCAUCAUAUUCAUCCUAAAUUUGGUCCUAAAUUGCGUGACACUUUGGGAUACUCGCUGGAAGUUUUCACUGAUAAUUUCAACUCACCAGAGAAAAAUUUUCCAAUCUUGCUGCAAGAGAAAGAAAAGAUCAACAUUGAGGCUAGUAUUAAUGCUGAUAAGAGGCUACAUGUUGUAGUUGACACAUGCUGGUUGUCCACUGACCCCUUGGAUACAAGCAAGGAACAUAAGGACCAUACUCCUCCUUUAAUACAAUCUGGGUGCAAACUUGAGGAAAGGACAGAGUGGGAGGAAGGCAACAACAUAGCAAAGAAAAGAUUCAGUUUCCUGUUCUCGAACUACUUACAUAAUGAUGAGAAAACGUACCUGCAUUGUGAGCUUGGUGUGUGCUCAUCUGAUAGAGACUAUGCAGCACAGCUUUUCAAAACAUGUGUUGCCCCAGAUACAUACUGUCUGUUUAAGAAGAAUGGCAUUAAUGGCUAUGGAAAUACAGCCAAUGGCCACAUGAAGAUAGUUCACCUUGGACCAUUCAUGACUGAGACUGCCAGGAUAAAGUCUCUCCCUCCAGUUAUUGAGACAAAACCAAUUCAGCAUGCUAACACAGAUGACAGCAAGAUUCCCAAUAGGUCAUAUGCCAAAAAUGAUGCUACAUCUCAAAUCAACACAGAUAUAACAGAGAAGUGCCAGUCAGUGAUUAUAAAUGGAGUUGAUACGCCAACUGUUAUAGGCAUCUCUGUAGCAGCUUUCAUAAUAGGAGUUCUGCUAACUGCAGCACUAUGGCUAAUUCACACCCAUACUGGUCCAGGGAAGAUACAGCAACGUAGAAAUCGUGUUCCACGUCGUAUACUCCGAACACCAGAGGGCAGCAGUGAAUCCACACCCAACAGUACAACACCAAUGCAGACGUAGCCAUAGCAACCUCAUUUCAUUAUCAUCAUCAUUAUUACAGAGAAACAUCGGAGCUCUUGGAAUUGUCUAGAAAGAACAAUAUGCUCAUAAAUUAAUCACUCAUCAAUCAGGGGUGUCAGACUAAUUGUCAGAAGAGCCAAAAUUACCCAUCAGUUGAGGGUGUAAUGGCUAUUCCUGGAACAGCUGGGCAUUGCUUUUCAGUUUGAAUUUUGAGGAUAUGUGGCUCAGUUUGAAUAUUGCCAAUACAGAUGCUAUGAUAGACAAUGUAGCAUAAGACUAAGACUGGUAUAAUCCAGAAGAAUCAGCUGAUUUACCUACCUGAGAACACAUAAUUUCAACUCAUCAUUACCCAUCAUGCAUUUUUCAAAAUGGCUGAAACAGGACAGUGUUCUGUGAUAACAUGAUGCGGGUAUAAAGUGUGGUAGCCAAAAGUGCCAUGUCUCACUUAAACAGAACUAGCGGAUUCAGCCAUUUUAGUCAUUAUCGUAAAUUAUUGUAAGAGUCAAAGAUGGUGGGAGUUAGCCCCAACAGUCCCAGCCCCAACGAUGCAGAAAUAUACCUCAUGGGACUGGGGGGCUCAUUUUCACCACCUACGGGUGAAAUAACCUCAGGAUAUUUAGGUGUUUGGAUAGGUCAACUAGGUUGGUGUAAAAACCUCACAGGGGUCUGUGAGAAGCGGACACUGAAGACCCCUUAGAAACUGUUGACAACUGACCAUAGGGUUGUGUUAAAAGCUGGUGGGUGUGCCAGAAUUUGGUAGCCAUUAUUGAGUCGGGGAGCGGUGACUUCUAUUAGAAUAUAGAACAUAUCAAUGUUAGGAAAGAAGUAUAGAAACUCAUACCUUCAAAUUUUAGUUCUGUCUUAUACCUCACUACUUCUGUAGAGUGAUCAACUGGUGCGAUAUAUUUAUUUUUGCAUGUAAUUAAUACCCCCCCACACUUCUGUGUUCAUACUACGCAUGAAAAAACUCGAGUACAUUUAAAUCAACAAGAUAUUUUAGUUUCAGUUGAAUUUUCAUAUUUAUUCCUAUCAGGUUAAAAUACUUGAUCCUGUAAGUUUUUAGGAGUCUGUCACACAAAUUCUCUCUUAUUUUAAAAUGUUGCACUUCAAGAUUUUCUGAAAAUAUUUGUUACACAAUAAGCAUGAUUUAUAUGUUUGUAGUUGAAUACAGGGUGUUUAUUAUAAUUAUCUGCUGGAAUUGAUACAAUCAUUUGUUCCCUCAAAAAGUAUACAGUAAAACUUGUUAAUUAAACAGCAAAUGUGUUUGAAAGUAUAAGAUGUUUAUAUUAAACAGGUUUUACUGUACCCUACAGUUCAAGUGCAUUGACUCCAUGAUUAAGGUAUGUAAAGGUGAAUGAAUUAGAAUGGAUUAAUCAUUUGUCUCUGCCUACCUUAACUUGAACUUCCAAUGUUAUCACAUUUUGGAAAUAUUUUGAAACUUUACCUCAAGAGUUUAAAACUGUUAGUUUUAAUACGUUGAAUGCUUAUCAUUAAAUAAAAUUUCAAGGAUGUCAUGCUUUAAAACUCAUUAUGGAGACAAAACGGGGAAAUAUUAAGAAGUCACAACUAAGCACAAAAAAAUUAAUUAUGAAGGCUCUCUAACCCACAAUCUAUCUUUUCUUUUAGGACUUUUGCCAUAUUUCUUUUUCUUUAAAAUUUGAAGGGUUUUCUCAACUCCUGUUGAUUCAACUUCUCUUAUUCCAUUCUGUCCCUCUCUAUUUUGGAUUUUAAAGCAUGACUGCAGUAAUAUUUUAUCUACUUGAUGUUAAAACUGUUAUGGCUUUGAAUGGCAACAAUCUAUGACCCAGGUUAGUUUUUUUAUUAUUAUUUAAAUAUAUAAGGGAGAGGAGAUCCCUUGAUUUGAUGUAUAUAGACCAAAUGGGAGAAAGUGUACAUAGAUGUCUUGUAUAUAACACUACGCUGUAUAAUUAUUGCUUUAUAUAUUAUCACAUGUACUAUGUAUGGGCUGAAUUAAUACGGGCAUUUUAGCGACCUAUAAAAUAGUUUUAAACCAAUUGCAAAGACAUACCAUACCUCACAGGUUUUAUUGAUUUUCUGUCUUAAAGGGUAUUGCAUUAAUAAUUUUCAUAGAGAGAUAUUCUAAAGCAAUCUCCUUUAAGGUAUGAUAUUUUAAACACAUGGUGCUGUUCAUUUUAAAGUCGGGGGAAAUGUAACGAUUUUUUCCCUCAGGCUAGGGUGAUUUAAUUCUGUGUGUAGCAUUAUAAUAUUAAAGAAAUUGAGAGUUGAGGCUUUUAUUUUUUACACAUUUCUGUCAACAUAGAUUAUAUAUGCCAUAAAUAUCACAGUUUAUUUCCCCGAACUUCAUGUGCUCAUGUAUUAUCAUAUGUGCUAUGAUAUCGGGUAUAUUUGAGCAAAGAUUAGCUAAACAUUUUAUUAAUUUGCCCUAGCCUAAUGUUUCAAAAUUUAUUUUGAAAGUUACACGUCAACUGGUGCAGAAUAUAUAAAUGAUCACAAUUAGUCUGAAUGCGUCAUUGGCAUUUCAUCAUAGUAUACAUUGGCAUUUCAUCAUUGUAUGCAUUGGCCAAUGGCAUUUCAUCAUAGUAUACAUUGGCAUUUCAUCAUAGUAUACAUUGGC